UCCGUGGAACCUUUCCGGGAGGCGAGCCGCGGGCUGCUGGGCGCGGAGGCUGGAGCCGCGAGAGGUUCGGCUGCUGAAGCGGCCACUGCCUGCCCGAGCCCGGCUCCGCGCCGCGCGUCCCCGCCGCCGCCGGCACUGUGCACCCACCUACUCCUUGGGCAUUGAGAUAAGGAAACUGAAGAACUGAGAGGUUAUGUAACUAACUUGUCCGAGGUUAUACAAAUAGCAGGUGAAAGAGCCUGGCUUCAAACUCAGAGUCAGUUCUAUGCCUUCUGGAGUACCCUACAUUUAGCAAUUUCUAUGCACCCCUACUACUAAAAAUUGGGAGCAAACUUGAUCUCUUCUUUGGAAUGAGAAUCCUAGAAACAUGGAAUGCAAAAUCCUCUGUACAUCUCACCAGGAGACAUCAGACCCUUAUGUAAAAACCAUUCCUAGAAGACUGCUUUGAUACAGUUCUAGAAGAGCACAUGCAUUUGGCUAUUCAGGAUCUAGCAACAGCUGCUUGCCCUCCCCUGCUCACUCAUUGUUAUAAAGAUCAAAUGAGGUGACAGCUACAAAAGGACUUCAUAACCUUAAAAGGUAAUUACAUCAAGUGCUAUUGGAUUAUAAAAACAACUGGUCCAAAUUAAAGAUGGUAUACACUCGUAGAAAUAACCAAGAGGUAUUGAAUUCCAUUGUUGGAUGUAUUAAAUAAAAGCCUAGAAAACCAUCAUUCUUGGAGAGACUAUUAGCUUGGAACGUACUAGGUAGACAAACCUUUGCUGUCCCACUAACAGCAUUAAAGCAUUGAACAACAAAACACUUAUAUGUUUAUGAAAAUUUACCGUAAUUUCAAGAGACAGGAAAGAUAGUAUGAAGAGUAAAAUAGACUCAUGGAAUUGAAUGUAACAAAAAAGUGUAAGAAAUUAUGACACAGAAACUGGAACUCUUCUGUCUUCUACAUAUAAAUGCAAAAAACCUGCCUAUUGGAAGUUCAUGUAAAGACUUUUUAAGAUUCAGUCAUCCUUUAAAGUUGAAUUUCUUUAAAUGUGCCCGGUUAGCACUGGUGUUCAUCAUCAUUCAGCUCCACAGUUUUCAGGAGAGAAUGCUCCCCUAAGGCCAUUGUCAGAACUUCCAGCCUUGGUCCCUGCUGUAAAUGGAGUUUUAGAAAUAAGCUUAUGGUUAUACAGUUUUGAAUCAUGCAAAAUCUUUUUUGAAACUGUUCACCCCAUCUUCCUUCUACCACCAAUACCCCAAUAUAAUACAAUACUAGCAAAAUUGAGAGAGGAUUACUUCUUAAGAAAAUAAAAUUAAAAUACACCAGUUGAAAUCUUAAAAUACAACAUUUCUAUGAUAAUUGAAGACUAAAAAUCUUUUUUUGAAUUUCGAAAUGUUGCAAAAGACUAGAAAACUGGAAUAUUUAGUGCCUUUUUCCAGGGGCCACUUUCAUAUUGAAUUGAUUUGAAGCAAUUGUCUGUGCUGUAUUAUGCUGCUGGCAUGUAGGAGGAGAAAGGAAACUUCAGAGGAACUAAUUCAGUGAACUGUGGUCCUGGCACACAAUUAGGAUGAUGGUACUUUGUCUGACCAAGUUCCAGUGUGGUCAAGUCCAUGGCUCCUACACUUAGCUACCAGCUGCAGGUCGAAGUGAAGAAAAUUCUAAAACAAACAAUCCAGAAGUAACAAGUGAAUUUUUGAAAAGAAUUUUUAACUUUAUUUUUUCUAUUUGGAGAAUGAGAUUGACAAUAAAAGUGUUAAUAAGGAAUUGACAUGUAUUGAGAACAUUUUUUUUUUGGUGCCAGGUAUUUAUGGUGCUAAGCUUUUAUAUACAUUAUCUCAUUUAAUCUCCAUUAUAAUCCUAAAAGACAAGUACUAUUAAUACUGUAUAUUACCAAUGAGGAGACUGGAGCACGAAGAGGAUAAGUAACUUUCCCAAGGUCACACAGCUCAUAUCUGCCUCAUAGAAAUGCCAGGAAAGGCAAAACAACAACAAAUCUCAGUGGUAUGCAUUGAUAUUCAAGAAAAUGGGACCGGA